rnacentral:misc_RNA from 1 species
GUGCAGCCACAAGCUUCCCAGCAUCACUCUUUACAAUCUACUCCAACCCCACUCUACUAUUUUGAGCACUAUAGGCGGCAUCAAAAUUGUAUUUCAAUCUCCCAACUCUAGGACGACUCCACUUACAUUAUUAGACUUCAACACCAGGUUGAGAAGCCAAAAUCUACAACUGCUGUGCAUCUCUUUGUUGCAUCAAAAAAUGGAUAGCAUUCGGAGCAACCAUGCUGAGGAGUAAGAACAACUUACUGCUACACAUUCUUAUUUCUACUAUCCCAAAUGCUCAGAAUUAACAUAAACGCAUGGCAGCUAUCAUCAGAAUCCAAAGAACCAAACA